GCUGGGCAUAGUGGCGGGUGCCUGUAAUCCCAGCUACUUGGGAGGCUGAGGCAGGAGAAUCGCUUGAACCUGGGAGGCGGAGGUUCCAGUGAGCCAACAUUGAGCCACUGCACUCCAGCCCAGGUGACAGAGUGAGACUCCGUCUCAG
rnacentral:SRP_RNA from 1 species